AUAUUCUAUAUUUAAUGCCCACUCCAGUUAAAAAAAAAAACAGAACAGAAACCGCUCCUCCUAAGCCAUGGUGGUGCUUCCUUAUACUGCUGCUUUCCUACUCCUUUCCUUCUUACUGACUGUAAAAAUCGCAAACUCGCAGUCAUUCCUCGGUAUAAACUAUGGCCAGCUUGCGGACAACCUUCCAACACCAUCAUCCAAUGCAAAACUUCUUCAAUCCAUUUCAAUCCAAAAGGUCCGAUUAUAUGGAUCGGACCCCGCCAUAAUCAAAGCCUUAGCCAACACCGGAAUUGGAAUUGUUAUCGGCACUGCAAAUGGUGACAUUCCAGGACUAGCCUCUGAUCCCCAUUUUGCCAAGAGCUGGAUCAACACAAACGUGCUUCCCUUCUAUCCAGCUAGCAAUAUCAUCCUCAUCACUGUCGGCAACGAGGUCAUGACUUCCAAUGACCAGAAUCUCAUGAACAAGCUCUUACCAGCAAUGCAAAAUGUACAGAAUGCUCUAAAUGAUGCAUCGCUCGGGGGUAAAAUUAAGGUCUCCACAGUUCAUUCGAUGGGAGUACUUAAGCAGUCUGAGCCACCUUCUUCUGGAAGCUUUGAUCCAAGUUAUGGGGAUCUGAUGAAGGGCUUGUUGGAGUUUAAUAGUGCGAAUGGUUCGCCUUUCGCAUUCAAUCCCUACCCAUACUUUGCUUAUAGAAGCGAUACAAGGCCUGAGACUCUCGCUUUUUGCCUUUUCCAGCCGAAUGCAGGACGAAUGGAUGGAAACACUAAGAUCAAGUACAUGAACAUGUUCGAUGCUCAGGUGGAUGCAGUUUAUUCUGCACUGAAUUCUAUGGGAUUUAAGAAUGUUGAGAUUGUGGUGGCUGAGACUGGAUGGCCAUUUAAAGGAGAUGACAACGACGUAGGGCCAAGCAUUGAGAAUGCCAAGGCUUACAAUGGCAAUUUGAUUGCACACCUUCGAUCGAUGGUGGGCACUCCACUCAUGCCAGGAAAAUCAGUGGAUACAUACCUCUUUGCUCUUUAUGACGAAGACUUGAAACCUGGACCUGGUUCCGAGCGAUCACCUGGACUUUUCAAGACUGAUCUCACCAUGGUUUAUGAUGUUGGACUCUCUACAAGUAACCAGGUAAGAGCAAAAUUUAUGUGCAUUUCAUUGGUAUUUCGAGUUUUCAACAGCCAAGUGUUCUAUUCCUGAGCUUUCCUUUGAUUUGGCAUUUAAAUUUCUGUGUUUGGUUGGGAAGGUGGGUUUUAAAACAUCACUAAGCAUUUUGUUUGUUAAUAUAGUGGACAGUUCCUUUUCAAGAAAGAAAAAGGCUAAAUUGUACUAAAAAAAAGCUCUUGAACAAAAAAUCAAUGACAAAAAAAGAAAAACUCAGGUGGACUCUCUACAAGUAACCAGGUAAGAGCAAAAUUUAUGUGCAUUUCAUUGGUAUUUCGAGUUUUCAACAGCCAAGUGUUCUAUUCCUGAGCUUUCCUUUGAUUUGGCAUUUAAAUUUCUGUGUUUGGUUGGGAAGGUGGGUUUUAAAACAUCACUAAGCAUUUUGUUUGUUAAUAUAGUGGACAGUUCCUUUUCAAGAAAGAAAAAGGCUAAAUUGUACUAAAAAAAAGCUCUUGAACAAAAAAUCAAUGACAAAAAAAGAAAAACUCAGGUGGACUCUCUACAAGUAACCAGACCCAGUCACCAGCAGCAUCACCACAACCUUCACCAACAGCAACGAACACCACCACUAGCACUACUACCACCAGUACCACCACCAGUACCACCACCAGCAACAAUAAUAGCAGCACGAGCACAAGCACGAGUACCGG